UACGAAGGGGGCUAGCGUUGUUCGGCUUUACUGGGCGUAAAGCGCGCGCAGGCGGCUUUGCAAGUCAGGGGUGAAAUCCCAGAGCUCAACUCUGGACUUGCCUUUGAGACUGUGAGGCUUCGAGUACGGGAGAGGUGAGUGGAAUUCCCAGUGUAGAGGUGAAAGUCGUAGAUAUUGGGAAGAACAACGGUGGCGAAGGCGGCUCACUGGCCCGUUACUGACGCUCAGGCGCGACAGCGUGGGGAUCAAACAGU
rnacentral:rRNA from 1 species